AUUUGUCCAAAUCUGUUUUGGAGAAUAAGGUAACGAAAUUUUCCAAAUUUGUUUUCAAUUUAUAUUCGUGCCUUAAACAGUUUAUGUGGUUGUACAUGAAGUUUGAGUUCCAUUUGACAAAGGUUAACUCAAUAACGGAGAUUCGACUACACUAUGCCCCCGAUGAGCGAAGGUUUGUUUUAAAUGAAAAAGGUAAAAUCGACCCUUAUUCUUCUGCUUAUCGAGGUAAGAUGCUUGAAACCUUUGAAACACUUUUGUACUCCUCGGAUAGUGAUAAAGAUCGUGUUGAUGAACACUUAGAUCGAAACGUGCUUGACUGUCCUAUUUUAUUUAUUCUAUCUGUUUUGAUGGUUGAUAAAAAGAUUCUUGUUUUUGAUAAUGCAU
rnacentral:lncRNA from 1 species